rnacentral:rRNA from 1 species
CGAACGAUGAAGCCCAGCUUGCUGGGUGGAUUAGUGGCGAACGGGUGAGUAACACGUGAGUAACCUGCCCUUGACUCUGGGAUAAGCCUGGGAAACUGGGUCUAAUACCGGACAGGAACGUCCACCGCAAGGUGGUUGUUGGAAAGAUUUAUCGGUCAUGGAUGGACUCGCGGCCUAUCAACUUGUUGGUGAGGUAAUGGCUCACCAAGGCGACCACGGGUAGCCGGCCUGAGAGGGUGACCGGCCACACUGGGACUGAGACACGGCCCACACUCCUACGGGAGGCAGCAGUGGGGAAUAUUGCACAAUGGGCGAAAGCCUGAUGCAGCGACCCGCGUGAGGGAUGACGGCCUUCGGGUUGUAAACCUCUUUCAGUAGGGAAGAAGCGAAUGUGACGGUCCUGCAGAAGAAGCACCGGCUAACUACGUGCCAGCAGCCGCGGUAAUACGUAGGUGCGAGCGUUAUCCGGAAUUAUGGGGCGUAAAGAGCUCGUAGCCGUUUGUCGCGUCUGUCGUGAAAGUCCGGGGCUUAACCCCGGAUCUGCGGUGGGUACGGCAGACUAGAGUGCAUAGGGAGACUGGAAUUCCUGGUGUAGCGGUGGAAUGCGCACA